rnacentral:rRNA from 1 species
AUGAGAGAAAAAGAGACAAGGGACAAUGCUACUAUCUCUUUUUCCACACUUGUGCUUCAAAGUAGCACCAUGAUCUUCAUGAUAGAGAGUCUCCUAUGUUGUCACUUUCAUAUACUAGUGGGAAUUUUUCAUUAUAGAACUUGGCUUGUAUAUUCCAAUGAUGGGCUUCCUCAAAAUGCCCUAGGUCUUCGUAAGCAAGCAAGUCGGAUGCACACCCACUUAGUUUCUUUUGUUGAGAUUUCAUAUAUUUAUAGCUCUAGUGCAUCCAUUGCAUGGCAAUACCUACUCACUCACAUUGAUAUUUAUUAA